rnacentral:sRNA from 1 species
GUUCCGCGCCGGGCGUGGACGGUGUGGGGCGGCCCUGGCCCCGGCCCCGCAGAUCCUCGUUCCUAGCUGCCUGCCAGCGUCCUCGGCCCAGCCCUGAGGAUGGACCCAGGAGAUCCCGCUGGUGACCCUGCUGCUGGUGAGCGCUGCCGCACGGGCCAGGACCCCCUCCUGCUCCUGCAGGCCCUGCAGACCCUGUGGUCCACGCGGGAGCGGCAGCAGAGUCCAGAGGGACAGACAAGCUGCCUUUCACCUUGUCUAGCCACUUUCCCCGAGGGGCAUCCUUUGGAGGGUCUGGACUUUCCAGCCUUACCUCCCGUGCCUUUGGAUAUCGCACCCUCCUGGACAGCGCUGAGGUCUCCUCACGCACUCACCUCCGGGAGGAAGCCUGGCGGGGGUUUGCUGCCCUGGACGACCCCCUGGCUGGGCUUCUGGACAUGCUGGAGAGCUGCCGGGGCCGGCGGAGAGAGGGCCCCUCCCUGGAGGCCUGGAUCUCCCACCAGCUGCAGUGCUGGCUACAGGCACAGCCACGCCCGAGCCCAGCCCAGCACAGCCUGAGGCUGAAGCAGCUGCAGGCCCGAGCGGUCAGAGUCCUCACUGAGAGCCCCACCAGCCUUGUGGCACCACUGGCCAGCAUCUUCCAGCUGCAGGAUGCAGACAGGAGCUGCCUGCUGGUGCACGUCCACCGCCUCCACCACGAGGGCAGGUUCAGAGAAGCAGUCAUGCUGGGCACGACGUUGAAGCUGCAGCCAGAACUUGAUGUUGAAAAGGUGAACGUCUUUCUCAUGUAAAUUGUUUAGGUUCAAGCUUGGAUAAUGCCCAGGUCUCUAUAAACAGUGUUUGGUGGAGGUGGGGGGUCCACCAAGCCACAGUGGGGGACAGCAGGGCCAUCGGGGGUCGGCGAGGGCCUCAAGAGCCCCCUAAACCACCAUCCUUCUCGUGGGCUGACCCCAAAUCAGACGCAGCCGCACGUACAGGCACCCCGUGUCCGGCUGUCCCCUGAAGCCCUGAGUGUGCUCCGUGCAGCAGCUGGGGCCACCCCUUCCCUGGAUUGGGCACCAGGUGCCUCGAGGACACGCAGCCCAUGUGCUUCUGGGACCCUCUUCUGCUGCACAUCUCCACUGCGCAGUGGGCUGGGGAA